CUAGGAGCCGAUGAAGGACGGGACUAACACCGAUAUGCUUCGGGGAGCGGUAAGUACCCUUU
rnacentral:rRNA from 1 species